rnacentral:rRNA from 1 species
GCAGGGAAUCUUGCGCAAUGGGCUAAAAGGCCUGACGCAGCGACACCGCGUGGGGGAAGAAGGCUUUCGGGUUGUAAACCCCUUUUCUCGGGGAAGAGUGAGGACGGUACCCGAGGAAUAAGCCUCGGCUAACUACGUGCCAGCAGCCGCGGUAAUACGUAGGAGGCGAGCGUUGUCCGAAUUUACUGGGCGUAAAGGGCGAGUAGGCGGCAUGUUAAGUCUCAUGUGAAAUCUCCCGGCUCAACUGGGAGGGGUCAUGGGAAACUGGCAAGCUGGAGGGCAGUAGAGGAGAGUGGAAUUCCCGGAGUAGCGGUGAAAUGCGUAGAUACCGGGAGGAACACCCGAGGCGAAGGCGACUCUCUGGGCUGCACCUGACGCUGAGGCGCGAAAGCAUGGGGAGCGAACCGG